CAUCACACUGAAUCAGUUCAUAAGUAGUAAAGUGAAAAAAACAAUAUUCUGCACUACUGUUUUUUGUUGGAUCAGUUGCUGCAAGAGAACAAUAUACCUAGUUGUUACAUUUGCUUAUUGUUUAAGUAACAUUUGAUCUAUAGCAGACCAAACUGCAUUAGUUUUCUAAUAGAGGAAAACUGCUGUUACGUAGCCUUUUGCUGGAUACCCA
rnacentral:lncRNA from 1 species